rnacentral:rRNA from 1 species
UACGUAGGGGGCGAGCGUUGUCCGGAUUUAUUGGGCGUAAAGAGCUUGUAGGCGGCUCGUCACGUCGGGUGUGAAAACUCGCGGCUCAACCGCGAGCCUGCACCCGAUACGGGCGGGCUGGAGUUCGGCAGGGGAGACUGGAAUUCCUGGUGUAGCGGUGGAAUGCGCAGAUAUCAGGAGGAACACCGGUGGCGAAGGCGGGUCUCUGGGCCGAUACUGACGCUGAGAAGCGAAAGCGUGGGGAGCGAACAGG